rnacentral:rRNA from 1 species
GACGAACGCUGGCGGCGUGCUUAACACAUGCAAGUCGAACGAGUGGCGAACGGGUGCGUAAUUCGUGAGUAACCUGCCCUCGUUUUGGGAUAAGCCUUGAAAACGGUGCUAAUACCGGAUAAAGGGGGAUGGGCUCGCGGCCUGUAGGCUUGUUGGGGGGGUGAUGGCCUACCAAGGCGGUGACGGGUAGCCGGCCUGAGAGGGUGGCUGGCAACAGUGGGACUGGGCUACGGCCCAGACGCCUACGCGAGGCAGAAGUGGGGGAUAUUGAACAAUGGGCGAAAGACGGAUGCAGCGUAGACGCGUGGGGGAUUAAGGCUUUCGGGUUGUUAACCUCUGUCGCAAUCGAACGGGUAGGUGGAGAAGAAGCGCCGGCUAACUACGUGCCAGCAGCCGCGGUAAUUC